rnacentral:lncRNA from 1 species
CCAUUUAACAGGUGAGGAAACUAAGGCAGAGAAGUAAGAAUCCUGGUCCAGUCACUCAUUUGAGGACCUGGGCUGCCAGCCAGGGCUCCUGACCUGCUGCCAGAUCCAAGCAAGAGCCUGUGCUGGGCAUAGGGAGAGAGGUACAGGACAGACGUCGGCACCAGCUCUCCAAGGCAGAGGCAUUAUCGACCUUGUCAGCCCGACUAACGACUGGAGAACCUGUACUUCCAUUUGAAGCCACAGAACAAGGCGUUUCUCCUGAAAGUGCCCAGCACAAAGUCUUCGAGGAUGACGCCUCUGUGGACAGGGGAGCCCAUCUCUGUCUUCACAGGAGAUGGAAGCCUGGAGCCCACAGCUUGCCCAGGCCUUGGCUGUGCCGUUACCAAGUGACCAGUUCUGAGGCCUCCCCCGAGGCCACUUGGGAGCUGACAGGCGGAUGUGGCUUCCCUCGUCCCAGCUCCUGCUUCCCAGCCAGGGACCCUGAGACCCAGCUCGGGGUAAUGAGGGGAAGUAACAGAUACAUCUAUUUUUAAUCCAAAUAAAGGGAAAAUGUUUGCCACCACAGAGUUUAUAAAAAUAACAAUGCAUUAUUUGGGCAUUAAUAACAAUAAAGAUGUCAAACUGUCAGAUAAGAAGUUAAUCUCAUUCUGAGCACAAUUAAAGACGCUAUUAUCCCACCACCUGGGGCCACUCUGACUUUUACCACGCAGCAGGCUUAAUAGAUAAAGGGGCCACGCACAGAGCACAGGGAGUGCUUGGCACUGCCCGCCUGCCCAGCCUGCAACAUGCUGCCACUGCCAGACCUUUCCCUCAGCGUUCCCAGCUCAAGGACUCAGGCCCAGCACAGCAGGACACUCAGGGCUGAAGGUGAGGACAGAGCAAGCUGGGACCUGGGCCUGUGCACCUGCCUGUCACCAGUCCGGCUCUGAUCCAGGACACAAAACCCCUGGCCCGUACAAUGUAUGCACCGAGGGGACCCC